rnacentral:lncRNA from 10 species
GUGCUCUACAUAUAGGAUCUCAUUUAUUCCUUUCAGUAACCCUGUGUGCAAGGUUAGGAGGUAGGGCCUAUCACUCCCAUUUCACUGAUCAGGAAACUGAGGCACAAAAAGGUCAAGUGACUUGCCCAUGGUCACAUAGCUGGUACCGAACGGAGACAGGAUCUGUUUGUCUCCAGGGCUCUGGCUGUACCACCACCUGGGGCUGCCUCUCCCGUUAGACUUCCUCUUGGUAGCAGGUCAAAGCCCUGGAACUGUUGAGCCGCCUUUGGCUAGUGGGUCUCCCGCCGGGUGGCAGCAAAGUUGCUCUCUGGAAGCACUAGGUCUCUGAAAAAUAAGAAAAUGCCAGGAAACUAGAGCAGAAAGCUGGAAAACAAGGAACCUUACCAAUACCCUCAUCCCCCAUCAGCCACAGCAUCAGUGUCGUGUGGGGAGGGAGAAAGGAGGUGCUGAAGGAGAGGACAAGGUGCAGGAAAGAGGAGGAGAGAAGCCGGUGGGCUGUCCAACGUGAUGGCUCUGAAGCACCAGUGGCUCCUAGGCCCUUUAAGGUCAAUGUGAUUAAUCACGUUCCAUGUACAAGGUGACUUGGCUGUUACUGUAUGUUAUCACCCUCCUCUCUCGUCCCCUUAGAUCAUCUGACUUCAACAACCAACUCUGCAUGAGAACUAGAAAAUGCAAGGAUUUCUAUAGGUCUCUAUGGUGACUGUAUUAGUAUCCCAAGGUCCAAGGGCAUUUGCUACCAAAUUAUCAUUAUUAUUAUUUUUUUUUAUAAUUGUGAAGC